GUCGGUAAGGUGAUAUGAACCGUUAUAACCGGCGAUUUCCGAAUGGGGAAACCCAGUGUGAUUCGUCACACUAUCAUUAACUGAAUCCAUAGGUUAAUGAGGCGAACCGGGGGAACUGAAACAUCUAAGUACCCCGAGGAAAAGAAAUCAACCGAGAUUCCCCCAGUAGCGGCGAGCGAACGGGGAGCAGCCCAGAGCCUGAAUCAGUGUGUGUGUUAGUGGAAGCGUCUGGAAAGGCGCGCGAUACAGGGUGACAGCCCCGUACACAAAAAUGCACAUGCUGUGAGCUCGAUGAGUAGGGCGGGACACGUGGUAUCCUGUCUGAAUAUGGGGGGACCAUCCUCCAAGGCUAAAUACUCCUGACUGACCGAUAGUGAACCAGUACCGUGAGGGAAAGGCGAAAAGAACCCCGGCGAGGGGAGUGAAAAAGAACCUGAAACCGUGUACGUACAAGCAGUGGGAGCACGCUUAGGCGUGUGACUGCGUACCUUUUGUAUAAUGGGUCAGCGACUUAUAUUCUGUAGCAAGGUUAACCGAAUAGGGGAGCCGAAGGGAAACCGAGUCUUAACUGGGCGUUAAGUUGCAGGGUAUAGACCCGAAACCCGGUGAUCUAGCCAUGGGCAGGUUGAAGGUUGGGUAACACUAACUGGAGGACCGAACCGACUAAUGUUGAAAAAUUAGCGGAUGACUUGUGGCUGGGGGUGAAAGGCCAAUCAAACCGGGAGAUAGCUGGUUCUCCCCGAAAGCUAUUUAGGUAGCGCCUCGUGAAUUCAUCUCCGGGGGUAGAGCACUGUUUCGGCAAGGGGGUCAUCCCGACUUACCAACCCGAUGCAAACUGCGAAUACCGGAGAAUGUUAUCACGGGAGACACACGGCGGGUGCUAACGUCCGUCGUGAAGAGGGAAACAACCCAGACCGCCAGCUAAGGUCCCAAAGUCAUGGUUAAGUGGGAAACGAUGUGGGAAGGCCCAGACAGCCAGGAUGUUGGCUUAGAAGCAGCCAUCAUUUAAAGAAAGCGUAAUAGCUCACUGGUCGAGUCGGCCUGCGCGGAAGAUGUAACGGGGCUAAACCAUG
rnacentral:rRNA from 11 species